AUACGUAGGUGGCAAGCGUUGUCCGGAAUUAUUGGGCGUAAAGCGCGCGCAGGUGGUUCCUUAAGUCUGAUGUGAAAGCCCCCGGCUCAACCGGGGAGGGUCAUUGGAAACUGGGGAACUUGAGUGCAGAAGAGGAUAGUGGAAUUCCAAGUGUAGCGGUGAAAUGCGUAGAGAUUUGGAGGAACACCAGUGGCGAAGGCGACUGUCUGGUCGUUAACUGACACUGAGGCGCGAAAGCGUGGGGAGCAAACAGGAUUAGAUACCCUGGUAGUCCACGCCGUAAACGAUGAGUGCUAAGUGUUGGGGGGUUUCCGCCCCUCAGUGCUGCAGCUAACGCAUUAAGCACUCCGCCUGGGGAGUACGGUCGCAAGACUGAAACUCAAAUGAAUUGACGGGG
rnacentral:rRNA from 1 species